UGCUCAGCGGUUGUAAAUAAACAAGUACAGUCUCGGCAGUGUCACAUGAAAAGGCCUAUUGUGUUAAUCUGCAUGUGCUUUUCGUGUGCUUCGGUCAAAGUGGGUCCGUUCACAAAUUACGUGACGCAAAUUUUGACAUUUUCAAACCCUCUCCGUCCCAAUGUCAUUUAUUAUAUUCGCGAAUACGAAGGUAUUCACUCUUAUGGCAAAAACACAUUGCUGUCUGUCAGACUGCGUGAAAUAUGGCCGCCGAACACCCUUUCUUGUUCCUCUACACACACUAAUCUGGAGCUACCCAGAAUUAUGUCAAAGUGACCCAAAAUCAGCAAAACCGUGGUUACUCUAAUUUGGGUUCGGGUACCUAAACUCAAAUCUGGGUAACAGUACAAGCGAAAAAAUCUGGGUAUCCGGUAUCCAGCUCUUUUCGCUCCAGAAUAUUGUUAUUGUAUAAAAAUGUUUAAAAAAUUCAGUUUCCCCCACCGUUUAUCAUUUACCGGCUGUGCCGACUAUACUCCGCCUUGACAAAUUUAACCAUUAUUUCCUUAUUUUUGCUGCAUACAACGAAAAAUUCCACAUUUUCUCUGGAAUGCAACGUCGGCGCCAUGUUGCUUCGGGUUCGUCUGACUCAGAUCCAUUUUGUUGACAUACCCAGAUUUUGACAACCGCUAAUAUCGAAAAAAUCCGGGUAGAAUCGACCCGGCCACUGAGUUAUUUCAGAUUAGCGUGCAGUAAAAUCCCAUAAGAAACUGUCAGCCUGUGCGUGAAGAAUUUACCUUCGUAGUCGCGAAUAGGACACUGCACUGGCUACUAUGUCUCUUUCUCGUCUAUGUCUAUUUAACUUGUCCUAUUUUCUUGCCUAUAUUCUAAUCUCCAGAAUACUAUUCCUUCCAAAAUUUAUUAAAAAGCUUAAAGAUUAUUUACUAUGAUCGAUUUCGGAAAUUAUGUCUCACUUCUUAGCUCAAAAAAUGGGAAAGCUAUUCCAUCGAGGGUCAAAGAAUUUCGUUACUCUGAACAGCUCUGAACCAUGGAAUCCAUCAAUCUGUCGAGUUCGAAUAAUUCGAGUCGGGUUCUCAUUUGCGACAUACAUGAUCUUCUUCAUUGGCAUUGCAUCCCCCACUGGGACAUUGCCGCCUCGCAGCUUAGUGUUCAAUUAGCACUUCCACAGUUAUUAACGGCGAGGUUUCUAAGCCAAGUUACCAUUUCUGCAUUCGUAUAUCAUGAGGCUAACACGAUGAUACUUUUAUGCCCAAGGAAGUCGAGACAGUUUCCAAUCCGAAAAUUGUCUAGACCGGCACCGGGGGAAUCGAACCCAGCCACCCUCAGCAUGGUCUUGCUUUGUAGCCACGCAUCUUACCGCACGGCUAAGGAGGGCCCUAUGACAUACAUGAUACGUUCUGGAUAAAUAUGACCUGGACGUACUAAUGGCUGCAGUCGGUUUACAUACUUCAAGGACAAAGUGGUAGGAGAGCAGAUUGAUUAGGGCUUGCUUGCUUGCCCGAGCGCAUACCACAUGCCGCCUUUACUAGUAAAGUGGGCAAACCAAUAUCCGUAUGAUUUCAUUGUCCUGUUUCGGGACAAUCUUCCUCACCUUGACGCAGUACGAAAGGACACCUAAUGCCUCUAUGAAACGGGACAAUAGAUUACUUUAAAACUCUAGGAAUGUAACUGAUAGCAGACCAUAUUCGAUGAAGAUUUUGACGCCGAAGAACUGCGCGUGCUGCUCUGCUACACCAAGGACGAAAAGCUGGAUAUAAAAAAUCGAACCGGUCUAUGGCCGCCCUGUACGACAUGAUGACAACAUUUCGAGACAAUAUGAACGAUUGCUUCUAGCAGAAUUGGCUGAAUCCGGAUCUGUUUCGGCAUUAUUAACUGCCACCGAAUCAACAAUAAUAUUCGCGGUAAUAAAAUAAAAUGGAAUUAUUAUCUAAAAACCGGUAUAAGAAAGUUUUUGAAGACGCAAGUUGAAGAAAAAAUUACACUUCCGGAACGUUGUUCAUUCCAAAACGUUUUCGGUGGAUCCGUAAGAGUCAACUAUAAAGGGGUUAUGCUGAUAGUCAACCACGGAAAAACAGGAACCAUCCUACGCCAUCCAAAAAAUGACGUGGAGCUGUUGGGAUAAUUGGAUUUCGAUGCCAGAAGAUGAAUCUGCGGCGCUCUGACCAACAAAAUAUAAAUUAGUCGUUUGUUUUGUGGCGUUGGUUCACUAUUGUGCUAUUAGGUUGCUCAUAUUGCCUCGGCAUAUUUUUUGUUAACAUAUUUAAAGUAGGUACCGUUUAUCUUGUUGCUAGUAUAGUUGUUGGGCUGGUCAUGUA